rnacentral:rRNA from 1 species
UACAGAGGUCUCAAGCGUUGUUCGGAUUCAUUGGGCGUAAAGGGUGCGUAGGCGGCGCGGUAAGUCGGGUGUGAAAUCUCGGAGCUUAACUCCGAAACUGCAUUCGAUACUGCCGUGCUUGAGGACUGGAGAGGAGACUGGAAUUUACAGUGUAGCGGUGGAAUGCGUAGAUAUCGGGAGGAACACCUGAGGCGAAGGCGGGCUACUGGGCCGAUACUGACGCUGAUGCGCGAAAGCCAGGGGAGCGAACGGG